GCGCGGAAGCGGCGGCGGCAAAGACAACAACGACAACGACGGAGCUGGCUAGGCGGGCGGAUGCUGGCGGCUCGGCACGUCGUGUGCGCCUUGUCCGGCGGAGUGGACAGCGCCGUGGCCGCGCUGCUGCUAAGGCGGAGAGGUUACCAAGUGACAGGGGUGUUUAUGAAGAACUGGGACUCACUGGAUGAACAUGGAGUUUGCACUGCUGACAGAGACUGCGAAGAUGCCUACAAAGUUUGCCAGAUCUUAGACAUCCCUUUCCAUCAGGUGUCCUACGUGAAGGAGUAUUGGAAUGAAGUGUUCAGUGAUUUUUUAAAUGAGUAUGAAAAAGGAAGGACUCCUAAUCCUGACAUAGUCUGCAAUAAGCACAUCAAAUUCAGUUGCUUUUUUCAUUACGCUGUGGAUAAUCUUGGAGCAGAUGCCAUUGCCACGGGUCACUAUGCAAGAACUUCACUGGAAGAUGAAGAAGUCUUUGAGCAGAAGCACAUUAAGAGACCAGAAGGGCUUUUCAGAAAUCGGUUUGAAGUUAGAAAUGCGGUAAAGCUUCUUCAAGCAGCUGACAGCUUUAAAGACCAGACCUUCUUUCUCAGCCAGGUUUCCCAGGAUGCCCUGAGAAGAACCAUCUUCCCUCUGGGGGGAUUAACGAAAGACUUUGUAAAGAAAAUAGCUGCUGAGAAUAGACUUCAUCACGUGCUUCAGAAGAAGGAGAGCAUGGGCAUCUGUUUUGUUGGUAAAAGAAAGUUUGAACAUUUCAUUCUUCAGUAUUUGCAGCCUCGCCCUGGCAACUUUAUUUCUAUAGAAGACAAUAAAGUCCUGGGAACACAUAAAGGUUGGUUCCUGUAUACCUUGGGCCAGAAAGCUAAGAUAGGCGGCCUGCGAGAGCCCUGGUACGUGGUGGAGAAGGAUGGCACCAAGGGCGACGUGUUCGUGGCCCCCUGGACAGACCACCCGGCCCUGUACCGGGACCUGCUUCGGACCAGCCGUGUGCACUGGAUCGCAGAGGAGCCGCCCGCCACGCUGGUCCGGGACAAGAUGAUGGAGUGCCACUUCCGAUUCCGCCACCAGAUGGCACUAGUGCCCUGCGUGCUGACCCUCAAUCAGGACGGCACUGUGUGGGUGACAGCGGUGAAGGCUGUGCGGGCCCUCGCCCUGGGACAGGUCUCACUCUGCUGCCCGAGCUGGAACGCCGUGGGUGGCAUCAUCGCAGCUCCCUGCAGCCUCAAACUCCUGUGCUCAAGCCACCCUCCCGGAGUGCUGGGAUUAUAGGCUUGAGCCACCACGCCCAGCCAAACUCACAUCUUUGACUUUUAGGAAAGCCACCACGAGAGACCUGGCUCCGGGCUUUGCUCUUCCCUUGGAGGUUGUAAGGGGGGAGGAGUGACGGGCCCCCGGCCCCGUGCUGCAGCUGGGCGCCUCUGGGAGCUCAGUCUCCUCGGCCACACAAUGGUGGUGACGAUCCCGGCCGAGGAGACGACGCUCACGGAACACCGAGCCUGGCGCACGCUACGUCCCGGCGUCCAGCCCCGGUCAGGACUCCAGAGGCGCAGCCAACAGAGCCCCCGGGCCCAGGCCCCGCCGUCUGCCCCACCUCGGAGGCCUCCUCCCGACCCCCGGCCCCUGCCUGGGCCUCCUCUGCGCUCCGGGAUCGGGUGACAGGGUACGGCCGCUGACCAGCGUCCCCUCUGCCCGGGAGGCUGAGGCUACUCACUCGGAGUCGGAGCCGUCAGCCUGCGCGCUCCCGGCGCACACGUUCAUGGCCACCCCGUUGAGGUGCUCGCGCCCGGGCUCCCUCCGCGGGUUCUUGACGGUGAUGGCACAGUCGGGGCCCCCCGAGCCCAGGGAGGACGUGCGUGACGACGCGGGGCUCUGCUCGCAGUCGGCCAGCUUCUCCCGGAGCCGGCCCUUCAGCGUCUGCUCGGUCAGCGGUGGCGGGAGCUGUACCGUGGGGUUUCCUGGAGCUCCUGGGGAUGAAGGAUGAGUCUGGUUCUCCAUGGCCGCCCCGCGCCAGCCCCGAGCACACGCUCAGCUUCUGGAUCCCUUCGUCCCUGGAGAGGACGGGAGGGUCAGCUCAGCACCUUCCUCAGAGAGACAGAUGAUGCAGCCACCCAGCGCUACUGGGCGAUGUUCUGGAAGAUUCUCCGUCCCCCCCAUCUGUGUUCCAAUCAACAACAGCUGACAAAAUGGGGCCUCCUGAGCACGCAGGGGGUGUGUCCCCUAGAAUGGCAGGAUGCGGCGGGGCCCCCAGACAGGCCAGGCAGCAGGGACGAAGCCGUGGCCCGAGAACCGCCCCCCCCCCAGGGUGACAGGAGGGCGCGGCGGGCUGACCUGGCGGUGCUGUCCAGCGAGGCGGUGGACUCGCCCAGCGCCGUGCGCAGCAUGUCGGGGCCCUCGCUGCCCGUGUUGUUGCAGUUGAGCGAGCGCUGGGGGAGGGGCGGGCUGGUUAUCUUGGGGCAGAGGCCACCGCGUGACUGCUGCAGAGGAUGGCUCUGUCCCCACAGCAAACCUUCCCUGCAAACAGAAGCCCUGCGGCAGCCGAGGGCCACCCCUGACCUCCUGACCUUGAAAAGUGGGGCUGUGAUUUGACUGAGGCCCCACCUGUCCCAUCCUGCCCAUUGCGCCAGGUCCACAGUGAGGGCAGCAGCCCCGCUGUGCCCGGUCCCUCAGCUCCCACCAUGAGCGGUGCACCCACCGCCCAGGCCCGCUGGUCCCCGGCGGCUCCUACCGUCAGCAGGGUGGCCCUGGUGGUGGCUGAGUCGUCCGCGUGUGGCUUCUUCCCAGCAAGCACCCCCUUCAGGUGCCGCCGGACCUCCCUGUUGAACACGCAGUGGAAGAGGAGGACGAACAGGCCCUGGCGGGAGGGAGGCAGGGUCAGCCCCGACGGUGGUCGCCGGUGCCACCUGCCUGCGGACGCCCAGGCCAGGCCAGCUGUGCGAGGGGCCGCGAGUGCCCAGAGCAAGCCUGGCCCGUACCAGGCCUCCCCGGGGACAGUCCUGGGGCCACCUGGGGUCCCCAGCGUGUCAUGAAUCAAUAUGCUGGGCAGCUUGGUGUGACCCAUCGAUGACCACUCCUCUCCCUGUGGGACAAGGGGGACUUGUGCCGGCCUGGCAGCAGGUUGGGACCCCAGGUCUCCGUCCUGGCAGUGGGGCUAGGGACAGUGGGUCUCACCACAGCCCCUCCUUGUUCCAUGGCUCUGCUGGAACAGCCGCCACAGGGUGGCCCCAUUUUUCUGCCAGGGCUGCCCAAGCAGCGGCCCCGCCAGGCAAGGCCCCGACUCCUACCUGCAAGCAGCUGAAGAUGGCGAAGAGGUAGUGAAAGGCCAGCGCGUCGCCAUUCACGGCCAGCAGCCCCAGCAGCCAGGUGGCACUGACCAGCAGCAGCAGGAGAAAGGCCGUCCUCAGCAGGGGGCUGUGGGGGCGGGGGGAUGAGCCCAGCCCUCCUCCCUACCCCCCACCUCCAACCGUCCACCCACCCGUCCAUCUGCCACCCGUCCCUCCGUCCAUCCACCCAGCCACCCACCUGUCUGUCCAUCCAGCCAUCAUCCACCCGUCCCUCCAUCCCUCCACCUGUCUGUCCACCCAGCCAUCGCCCACCUGUCCCUCCGUCCCUCCACCUGUCUGUCCACCCGGCCAUCGUCCACCUGUACUUCUGUCCCUCCACGUGUCUGUCCACCCGGCCAUCAUCCACCUGUCCCUCUGUCCCUCCACCUGUCCCUCCACCCAGCCAUCGCCCACCUGUCCCUCUGUCCCUCCACCUGUCCCUCCACCCGCUCAUCGUUAUUCAGCCCCAACUCACACGACGCCUUUUCUUUCAUAGUAAUGGUGCUUUCUUUGGCAGGACACCCUUGCAGACAGGACAAAAAUCACCGUGUUGAUCUGAAAAGAACAAAACAAAAAAUCAGAGUUGGCGGCCGACUCUCCUGCCUCAUCUCUGCUAGAAGCAUCUGAGGCUCAUCGUCUACAUCUCGGGACGUGUGGCUGGGGAGAUGGCCUCGGGCACCGGCUGUGGCACGAGGUGGACCCAAGGCCAGACUGCAGCCCUCCAGCCCCCACCACCCCCACAUGCCCGUGCAGGGCCUCCAGGGGUUGAUACGGGGCAGUCUCCCGGUGGACAUGAACCGCAACCCGGAACCCACGCAUCUGAGGGCAAGGUCUGGGAGCGGCCUGGUGGCUUUGGCCACCAUCGCCACGAGAGGAGCCCUUCCUGCCCCACCCUGGCCACUCCGAGGUGGCAGUAACACCAGCCAGCCCGGAACAUCCCUUCCAGCCAAUGCGCUCUGGGAAGGCCCCGGCACUCACGAUUAUAACCGCUCCGAUAGGCCCGGCAAAGCUCCAAAUCAGGGUGUCCUGAAGGGACAGCCAGCAGAAGUCGGGGUUCCCGUAGCCCUGGGGGUCUAGGCCAACCGCCAGUCCUGCCACACGAGGGAGGCAGAGGAGAGUGAGGGGCGCACACCCGGAUGGCCACUCGCCCGCAGUGUGGGACAGCAGCCCCCAGGCCCAGCCAGGGUGGGGCCACGAGGGGGGCCCCACGUGGCCCUCGGGGGGCAGAGCACGGAGCCCCAGAGAGACAGCCCGGGCGGAGGAUGGCCGGGGAGCCCACCCAGGCCUUCCUGCAGGUGUCCCCUGCGCUGGCGCCAAGUCCCAGGCGGCCCUGCCCUGGGGGCCUCACGUUGAAUGAGAGCAGCACUGGGGGCCGGGUGAGUGGGUGGGCGGGCGAGUGCACCCUCCGGCCCCACGCGCAGCUGAAACUUGGGGGCUGGGGAAAGGGCAGAGCAAAGCAGGGCCUGGGGGACCCGCUGUCACCCUGUCCACCUGGGUCCUCGAGACAAGAAUGGUUAGCGCCGCCCGGACCGCUGGACCAGGCAGCUGCCAUCUACCAACGCCUUCAGCCCGGUCUGAGGUUCCCUGGGUGUCAUUUUAAGAUGUUGUGCCAGAGACUAAGUGUUUUUAAAAAUUGUUUUUACAGCAGGUUAGAAAUGUGAACUAUUUGGAUUUGGAUUCCAAAGCUGUCCCGAGAGGCGGGGUUGUCACACGUGUGCUGACACAAGUGGGGGGGGGGGGUCUUCCAUCUGGGGCACUGAGACUGCUUACACAGAGCAGCUAGAAGGACCAUUUUCUGACGUGUUUUCAUCCCAACACUCUUGUACGACAAGCACCGCGUCUGGGCAGAGACACGGCCUCUACGCUGGGGGAGGAGGUGGCUGGGGGGGCCCUGCCCUGCCCCCACCUCAGAGGCCCUGGGUAGACGUGAAAAUGGCAACUGAGGGUCCCUCGGAGUAGAGGGACAGCCACAUCAGAGCCCAAGGAGGCUGUCUGGCAAGCACACCUGUCAGCGACGCUACCGUGGGAACCAGCGACUGGCCCCAGGUGCUGCUGGGCAGAGCCUGGGUGGCAACAGCCCUGCCCCAGCGCCUCUGGCCUUGGACUUUGUGUCCAAGUCCCUGGAAUCCAGAGAUGACCCGGACGUGGGCUGCAGACAGAGCCCCAAGGCCGGCCCAGCUCUCGAGGAGCUCACGCCUGGCAGGAGAUGUACCCCAGGGGAGCACUGAGCCGUCACCCGUGUGUGCAGAUGGCACAUGGGGACAGGGCCUCCACCAACAUGGAGCUGGGUGCAGAGCGAGGAGGGCAGGCGGCUCUCCCUGCCUGCACGGGGCUUGCUCCCGGGUCACCAAUGACACGUGGAUCCCCACUUAGCCGUGGCCCGUGGGAAAUCUGUAUUUCUAAGCAGGCCACCCUGGCAGGGCGCCGCGUGUGUCCUCACCUGUGACAAUGGCGGAGAUGCCCCAGCCCACGACGUAGUAGAACCUCAUGGGCCCCGUGUCGAUGUUGCGCACCUCGGUCAGCAUGCGGUAGACGUGCAGACCCUCCACCAGCGCCCAGGCGAAGGCGCUCAUGUAGACGUAGUGCAGGAGGAUGGCGACCACCGUGCACAGGAACUGCCAGGACACGGGCUGGCUCAGGGCGGCCCUGGGCUGAGCGGGCAGGGAGCCCGGAUCCCGCCCUGAGCGAGCCUGGCUUGGGCGGGGGUGGGGCAGUUUGAGAGAAGCUGGAAAUCUGGAUUUGUGUGAUGUUUCCAAAACUCUGAACGUUAACAAUCAAUUUAAAGCUAAAAAAAAUACCCUGGAGGUGGACCUGCUCGGCCUGAGGACCCCAGACUACGAUCUUGGCCUAUGCCCGCCACUGCCCCCACAUGGGGCUCCACGGCCCCCCACGGCCCAGUGGGUGUGGCCGGGGGUAGGAGAAGCUCCUCGCAGUGACCUCACUGUUAGUAAGAACCAGUUCCUCUCGCCCGCACUGAUUUCACGGAGCCUCGGAUCUUCCACAAAGAAAACACACGAUGAGCACGUGUGUUCUACGCGACUGUCCUCAACUGCGCAGGGCUGUGUCUGGCCACUGGCCCAGUGCCAGGAAGAGAAAACCAAUGUCCCCGGGGCAGCAGAGGGACAGUCUGUGGCCCUGCAGCACUGAGCCGCCUGGUGAGCCUAUUUGCCUAGACACGGAAGGCCAUGCACAAGUGGGACGAGGGCAUGUGGGGAGGGCUGGGGACGCUGUGGGGUCACAGCGAGUCUAGCCCGAGGCCACUAGUGCAAAUCAAAUACCCCCACCAUGUGCUCCAGAGCUGGACUCGAAGAUACGGCCCAGAGCAGCUUCCCCAGGGCUCUCUGCAGGGGCUGCCCGGCCCGCGCUCCCGAGCCUGGCCAGCUGGGACACGUGGCAGGCUCCCUCCAGGCCCUGCCCACCCUGACCCAGCCACCCCAGCAGGCCAGCCUUCCAGGGGUCCCAGUGUCCUCCCCAAGGAGAGACCCCUCAACAGACACAGGAGGGGAAGGGGAGGCACCACCUCAACCCAGGCUGGACGUCCCUUUGCCCGAGCAGGACAGAGCACCCUGAGGAGAGGUGUGCAGAGUACAGGCUCGAGGGUAACACGAAAGGUGCCACCUGCUGCCACGUCAACCUCGACGGCCCGGGUACUCUCCCGAAACAAGCACCCCGGAGGUGGCGGAGGGAUCACGUGGCAUUAGUGCCUGCCGAACACCUUACAAAGCAGGAGCCAGAGCAGAAGAAAGCGGUCCCCUGCUACCCCUGGGGACACGCCGCGCCCACACCGCACACCCCGGCUGCUGAUCGCAGUUGGCGUGGGGCGAGCAGGAAGGUGACAGGGGUGUUUGGCUUGCUGCCUUAGGUGAUGUGAAAAGUACACCCACAAAACCACCUUUGAAUGAGAAAGUGCCAGAACUACGACUUCUUCAAUUUAGCGGGGUCGUACAUGCACAGACUUCUGUACUGAACGUGACACCUUUUCCAGGAAGAGAACAAAGACGAAACACGAAUGCGCAAUAAAUCAUUUCAGCCUGCCCUCGCUCUGAGAGAUGAAAAGCCUCGCCCAGAGAUAGGAUUGUGAGUUUACAAAAACCCAUAAAAACCGGGCACGCGGCCAAGCCCCUGGAACCCGGAGCCCCGCUCCCUUCUCUUCUUUGUGCGCAGCGGUGCGUGGCUGCCUGGAGAGCCGGCCCGGGCGGGAGAUGAGUCACCCUCACGCUGGGGCUCGGUGGCAGGGAGGGGCCCCCGGCUCUGCCGCGCCCUCUGCUCGGAUGCUCAGCGCCGGGAGGCUUUGAAAGGAAUCAGCUUCCCAGGACAGCUCCCCGGUCUGAGGCCCCAGCAAGGACAUGCUCGGAGGGGAAGGCGCGCCUGGCCGUGUGUGCAGAACCUCCCGGGCGCGGGGCCCCUGGAGGGCAGCGAGGUUUGCUGCUUACUCGCCCGACACGCGCUCUGGGGACCGUCCUCUGCGGGACAGGCCUGAUGUUCCACCUGUCGCUGCCGAGAAGCCACCAAGUUCAUCAAGGAACUUUCUCAAGCUCUGCCUAUGGGGCGGUGUGCCCACCCUCGCCCCUGAGGGGUUUGGCUACCUUAGGAGGGUCAUGAGGGGUCCCACUGCUCACAACAAAAGAGGACGUGCCCAAGUCUGCAGACGGCCCUGGCCAGCUAGCCGGAAAAUUCCACCUGGGUCGUCUUAUUCCACUUCCCUACCCAGGGCCCGGCCGUUCCCAGACACAAUUCCCACCCCACUGUGGAGGACCCCCACCCCGUCACAAGCUCUGCACCUUCCUUGGCCCCCUGUGGUGCGUCCGGCCUCAGCCACUCUGAGCUGCCCUCUCGUCACGUGACACCUCCACCCGCUCGUCACCCCUUCGGGAGACCUGAGGGUGGCCCAGGCCCAGCCCUCCUGCUGCCCCUUUGGUGUGAUCCUGCCACCCCUCCCUCCUGUGGCUGCCACCCCGGCCACCGCCCAGGACUGUGAGUGCACCGUCGGGCUGCUCUGCUGGCCUGGCGCCGUCCUCCCACCCACCGUCCACCCGCUGCCGGGCUCGGCUUUCUGAAAUGCACCUCGGCUCGCGGCUCUCCACGCACAACGCUGCCUGCAGGAGGAAGAUGGCGCUCCUCCCCGAGAGGGGCCUGGCUCCGGGCCUGUCCCCUGCCCCUUAUUCUGGAUCCCUUCCCUAGGUGGCAAGUGGGUGGUCCUGUUCAGCUCUGCCCUGACCAGACACGGCCUCCCACCCACCAGUGAGGGCAGGUGAGGGCAGGGUGGGAGGUCUUCUGGAAUCUGGGGCUUGGUGCUUUACUACAGGGACCACCAGAGGUCCUUUCUGCUCCAGGGAGGGAGGAACGACAGCUGUGUCAACAGCAGGUGGCUGCAGCACUGGAAUGGCCCACUGUCCCCAAACAGGGUGCUAAUGAGAGAGUGGUCAGGUCUACGUCAGAGCAACCUUUGAACUUCCUGGAGUCACCACAUACAAAUGUGAGGGUCGACUGGCCUUGCAUCCCCCUAGGGCUACUAGGGCACCGUUUAGUGACGGAUGCACGAAAUGCACAGAGUGGUCUGCAGCACGUGUAGUUGAGGCCAUCCACGAGGGCAGGAGGGUUUUUGCUCCAGCCCCUGUGGUCAGACGUCUGCAGCACGGAGCUCACGGAGGAGCGCCACGGACCCCGGCUCCCAUCCCAGACCCUCCACCUCCCACCCAGCUGUGUGGCCUGGGCAGGUGACCCGACCUGUGAGGAGCCAGGCUCCCACCUGCCAGUGCUCCAGGGGGAUCAAGGAGACCAGGCGUGUGUGCAAAGCCGCGGUGUGAGUGGCUGCUGCAAGGCUGCCCCACGAGCAACUCCCUAUCGGCACGCUGGGGCCCCCGUGUCACCCUCACGAGCAACUCCCCAUCGGCACGCUGGGGCGCCCGUGUCACCCCCACGAGCAUCUCCCCAUCGGCACACUGGGGCCCCCGUGUCACCCCUGUGCAACAAGCUGAGGACGCCAGAGCUACGACCCCCGCGCUGGCCUGCGCUGUUCACUCUGUCCAGUCGGCAUGGACGUGCGCCGCUGUUGCCGCCUCCACGGCCGGUCACUCCCCAGUCCUCGAGGCCCUUGUCUCCAGCCACCAGCCCAUCCCUCCCUCCUGUAUCCCCCACCUGCUCCCCCUCCGGGGCUCCUGCGCCUUGAUGAGACACACACCCCAGGGCUCACGUCCCGUAACAGCUCCCCAGCCCCAGUGUCCCCUUCCUCUCCCUCACAGCCAAAUGCAUCUGACACACCAGCCCCCCAGGUCUCACUCCCAUCGCUCCUUUGUGAAUCACACGCUGAAUACACGCAGCGGCUGUGCACAGGGACACAACUGAUCUCACGCACACAUCACACCUCCACUCGUGACCGGCGACCUUGCUCAACUCUGUGUCCUAUGAGGCGUCUGUAGAUUAGAUUCUUCUGUAAGGUCCUUCAUGUCACCCAUAUCAUCUAAUAAAUAAUGACAGCCUUUUUUCUUCUUUCCAGUCUCUGACGCCAGCCAGUGCACUUGGUCACCACAGUCCCAGGCACAGCCUGAACGUGGGCUGACUGUCCUGUUGUACGAUUAUAACUGGGGGGCCACAGUGCAAGACCCCACACUGCACCCUGAAACUCUCGCCUUCCUCAGUGGUGACAAGUCCCAAGGGCAGAGACGAGGACACUUGCUGGCAGGUGCUGGCCCUCACUCCGUUAGCAGUUCAUGGGUCUGUGUCUAUCCCCCCAGGGAACUCGGCUUCCCCAGGGUGGAGGGCUCAGAGAUUUAAAAGGGGGUGAGAGGCGGCCUUGCUAAUAACCUACCUACAAGGGGGAAAUAAACUCUCAACAGAAAGUAAGAGACAUAAACUCUUGGCACAUAAUUGUCCCUUUGAAGACAACUGCCCCCUUUGCUUUGUUUAAUGAAAACACCCGUGGACUAACUCGUGCUCUCUAGAAGUUCGGUCUUCUCCUCGGACGGCAGGGAGUGAGCUCCCCACGCCAGCUCGCUGCCUCAGUCCCGGGCAGAAGCCGGAUUCCAAGGACUCUGAUAAGCCCCGCAGGGAAAAGAAAAAAUGAAGAUCACCCGCAACAGUGUCACAGCUGCUCCUGUCACCAGGCCGCUGAACCAGGGGGAGGACACACUUUUACCCUUUAAAAACACUGACCCGCUUCUCAGCGGCCGGGUGUUUUCUGCCUUCCCUCUUGCCUUGCCACCUUC